UUCUCUUCGCAGCGGUCCUUUCGUUGCUGUUCAACGACUACGACUCCCAGCAUGCCAUGCGCGGAAAUGGGAAGUGAUGCGACUUCUGCUAUGGAAAGCACCGGGAACUGAGGGAAAUGCUUCUCAGUCGCGUGAUACGUAACGUCAGGAGGCUUACGUAACCGGAAGGAACCACAAAAGUCAUUUUGUCCAGACUCCUGCUACUGCAGUCACCCACAGCAAAAUCUCUGAUGGCCAUCCAAAUGUGUCCACGACACCAUCUACCAACUUUGUUUCCUUUGUACAUCUGGAAACUUCCAUGCAAAUGGGAACAUAAGCAGACACCAUAUGGGAACUGCUAAUGCAGAAGGCAAGUGUCUUUUUUUAAAACACAUACCAUAUGUGUUUUUAUAAAGAGCUCCAUCAACGUUAGGGAACAGAUUUUUAAAAAAGAAAUUAUCAUUCUCAGAAUCUCCAACUUGAAAAGGUCACAAGCCUCAAGGUCACCUUCUCUUUAGCGGCUUGUCUGGUCUUCUCAUCCAUCCAGUCAAGCUGGUCCAGAGAUUCCUCAAAGGCUGAGCGGAUCUCGGCGAUCAUAUCCUCGGCCUGAAAGCAAACGUUCAAGAAGAGGCAAAAAGGGCAUCAGUGCUUUCCUUCUCACUUUCCAACCCAGUAGCUAUAAAUGGCUUUGCUUUACAUAAAGAACUGGGAAGGAAAAGAAUGGCUUGAUCCUUCCUUUUCCAGCUUUCAUAAAACAUGCCCUUCCCUACAAAUGCUUUUCUUUAGUGGGUUUAAUUUUUCAAAGACCAGUGAAGAGUGUUAGUGGGUUCUCAUGUCCAUCAUAUACAUAUACAGUAAGACGUCUGCAUCCAUGGGGCCAAUAUACAUGGUUUCAUUUAUUCACAUCUAACAAAAUAUGCCAUCUCUAGGCAUUUUCUACAAUAGUGUUCUCUAUUAUCCAUAGUUUUCUGUAUCCACACUAAAUCCAGGAAGGUAUCCUCUACAGAUUACAGGAUCAUACUGUAUAUACUUAAACAUACAAUAUAUAGUAAAUGGGUAUUUGAUCAUUAAACAGGCCUGUAACAAUAAUAUUAAUCAUGCAGCUUUUCCAGCCAUUGUAAUAGUCUAUGCAAGAUCAUCGCACUUCACAAAAGUGCUGGCUUUGGAAUUCCUUGGGGUGCAUCUACACAGUAAAAUUAAUACAGUUUGGCACCACUAACAGCCAUGGCUCAAUGUUAUGGUAUUCUAGGAGUUGUAGUUUGUGGGACACCAGCACUCUUUGGCAGAGAGGGCUAAAAAGACUUUAUGAAACUGCAGCUCCAAUAAUUACCAAGCACAGAGCUAUGGCAGUUAAAAUGGUGUCAAACUACAUUAAUUCUGCAAUGUAGAUACACCCAUAGAAACUGUCCCUUUAUAGUUAGGUGAUAUGCCACUUGGCCUUUGGAAGUGUGAGUAUUCUUGAGCAAAAGAAUGUAUAUGUAAAGAUCAGAAGAAAGGAAAGUCCAUAAUCAGGUCUGGAGAGGGUGCAUUUGGCCCUAAUCCAAUGUGGCCGGUGGUGCGGAUGUCUGGUUCAUUAAAAGGACCUCAAUGAAGGGCAGCUGAGACAAAGGGCAGGUUCGAUUGGCUGAAGGGAUUGGAGCUAUCUUUGUUUUCAGGCUUUAUUGCUGCAUUCCCUUUAACCUCUUCAUGUAAUCAAUAAACCAUCAUUUUGUUGCA